CCUACGGGGGGCAGCAGUGGGGAAUAUUGCGCAAUGGACGAAAGUCUGACGCAGCCACGCCGCGUGGAUGAUGAAGCUUUUCGGAGUGUAAAAUCCUGUCAGUGGGGAAGAACCGGUCGGGGAGUAACUGCCCCGGCCCUGACGGUACCCGCAGAGGAAGUUCCGGCUAACUCCGUGCCAGCAGCCGCGGUAAUACGGGGGGAACAAGCGUUGUUCGGAUUCACUGGGCGUAAAGGGCGUGUAGGCGGAUUUGCAAGUCAGAUGUGAAAACCGGCGGCUCAACCACCGGCCUGCAUCUGAUACUGCUAAUCUUGAGUACGGUAGAGGAAAGUGGAAUUCCAGGUGUAGCGGUGACAUGCGUAGAUAUCUGGAAGAACACCGGUGGCGAAGGCGGCUUUCUGGACCGAUACUGACGCUGAGGCGCGAAAGCCAGGGGAGCAAACAGGCUUAGAUACCCCUGUAGUC
rnacentral:rRNA from 1 species